rnacentral:tRNA from 1 species
GGGGAUAUAGCUCAGUGGUAGAGUGUUUGUCUAUUAAGUACAAAGCCCUGGGGUUCAAUCCCCAACAGCACUG